rnacentral:rRNA from 1 species
UACGGAGGAUCCGAGCGUUAUCCGGAUUUAUUGGGUUUAAAGGGUGCGCAGGCGGGGGAUUAAGUCGGCGGUGAAAUUUUGCAGCUCAACUGUAAAAGUGCCUUCGAAACUGGUUUCCUUGAGUGUAGAUGAAGUAGGCGGAACUUGUGGUGUAGCGGUGAAAUGCAUAGAUAUCACGAGGAACUCCGAUUGCGCAGGCAGCUUACUAAACUACUACUGACGCUCAGGCACGAAGGCGUGGGGAUCAAACAGGAUUAGAUACCCCCGUAGUCCA